GCCUCCUUAGCGGAGUUGCUAGUGGGUCGGUCUCAUAGUCUGAAGGUCGUGAGUUCGAUCCUCACAGUGGGCA